UACAGAGGGUGCAAGCGUUAAUCGGAAUUACUGGGCGUAAAGCGCGCGUAGGCGGCUGCCUAAGUCGGGUGUGAAAGCCCCGGGCUCAACCUGGGAACUGCACUCGAUACUGGGCGGCUAGAGUAUGAGAGAGGGAGGUAGAAUUCCACGUGUAGCGGUGAAAUGCGUAGAUAUGUGGAGGAAUACCGGUGGCGAAGGCGGCCUCCUGGUUCAAUACUGACGCUGAGGUGCGAAAGCGUGGGGAGCAAACGGG
rnacentral:rRNA from 1 species